AACAAUGAGUGAGUGGAUUUUUACCAUUAUAGGCUGGUUGUUUCACACACUGCGGCCACAAAACUGUGUUCAAACACCUCAUAAAAGUGAUUUUUGCAUUCUAUGGCACCUUUAAAGAUAAAGCAGCCUUUUCAGAAAUUAACAGGUUGAAAAGACAUUAGACGUUUAGGUCAUGAAUGAAUGAUUGGGAUCACUUGGAAAUCACGUAUAGUUUAUUUUAAGUGUGAAAUACUAGAAUCUGUAGCGCUAAUGUGAGAUAAUGAAUAUGAGGAGAAUGAAGCUGAUGCUGUGAAAGUGCUGGAUUAAGAGUUUCCAGUCUCUCUCAGAACCUACUGAAUCUACAGACGUAAAUGAUGGUCCCUUCUCUCCUCUCAUCUCUUUUGAUGGCCUGAUAGAAUCUGUCCAUCAGCUGAGAGACAAACUGGAGGAUUUCUGCAAAGAGGAGCUCAAGAAGAUCUCAGACAGAGUCACAUUCACCAACAUUGAUCACUCGACCCGGAACGACUUCCUACAAUAUUCCCAUCAGCUCACUCUGGAUCUGAACACAGUGAAUAAACGCCUCCAUCUGUCUGAGAGCAACAGAGUGAUUGCUAACACUAACACAGUCCAGUCGUAUCCUGAUCAUCCAGACAGAUUUGAUCAUUAUUGUCAGGUGUUGUGUAGAGAGAGUGUGUGUGAACGCUGUUACUGGGAGCUGGAGUGGAGUGGAGAUAUUGGUGUGUUUAUAUCAGUGUCAUAUAAGAGCAUCAGCAGGAAGGGAGCGGGUUAUGAGUGUGUGUUUGGAUCUAAUGAUCAGUCCUGGAGUUUGCACUGCACUCCGUCCAGUUACUCAUUCAUACACAAUAACAUAGAGACUGCUCUCUCUGUGAAGUCCAUCUUCAGUAGAAUAGGAGUGUUUGUGGAUCACAGUGCAGGAACUCUGUCCUUCUACAGAGUCUCUGACACAAUGAGCCUCAUCCACACAGUCCAGACCACAUUCACUCAGCCGCUCUAUCCUGGGUUUC